rnacentral:rRNA from 1 species
GACGAACCGUGCGAACGUUGUUCGGAUUCACUGGGCUUAAAGGGCGCGUAGGCGGGCGAGCGAGUCCGGGGUGAAAUCUUUCGGCUUAACCGGAAAAGGGCCUCGGAUACCGGUCGUCUCGAGGGAGGUAGGGGCAGCUGGAACUUCCGGUGGAGCGGUGAAAUGCGUUGAUAUCGGAAGGAACGCCGGUGGCGAAAGCGAGCUGCUGGACCUCAUCUGACGCUGAGGCGCGAAAGCCAGGGGAGCGAACGGG